UACGUAGGGGGCUAGCGUUGUCCGGAUUUAUUGGGCGUAAAGAGCGUGUAGGCGGCCAGGUAGGUCUGCUGUGAAAACUCGAGGCUCAACCUCGAGACGUCGGCGGAAACCAUCUGGCUAGAGUCCGGAAGAGAAGAGUGGAAUUCCACGUGUAGCGGUGAAAUGCGUAGAGAUGUGGAGGAACACCAGUGGCGAAGGCGACUCUUUGGUCUGUAACUGACGCUGAGGCGCGAAAGCGUGGGGAGCAAACAGG
rnacentral:rRNA from 1 species